rnacentral:lncRNA from 1 species
CGAUGGAGGCAGCCGAAGAUUUGCAUAGAAAGAAGAUGGCUGACGAGCGAGGAGAGAAAGAUGCUGCUGCUGAUGAUCCUAUGCAAAGGCUAAAGCUGAGGUUUAUGAGCAGAAUGUUGGAGUCUAGGAAAUUCACAUUAUUAAUUAAAAUCAAUUUUUUAUUAUUUUUUUAAUUUGAAAAUUCAAAUAUUUUUAGAUUCAUGUUUUUCAUUGAGAUUGUAUUGUGGAUAAUUUUAAUUUUUUUAUUAAGAUUCAUGUUCUCAUUUACUUAUAUCUAAAUUAUAUUUUAAUAUGUAUAUUUAUUUAUUUAA